GGACCCAGCAAUAAAAAGUUAUCCUUAAAGAUAACUCAGAGCAGAUGAGAACCGUGAGAAACAAGCAGUAGUUACUACAUAUAAGGUCAAUGCUACAGGACACAUAAACGUGGGUGAUGUGGCCAUCGCAGUGAGAACUGAGAACUCCUCCCUAAGAAGGGAACUUGAAAGGCAGGGAGGGAGGCAGCCCCGCCAAGAUCUGAGGUCAGCUGCUUCUAACAUCACGAAAGCUGGGGACUUAGCAUACAGGACGGGACUAUGAAUACUUAAAAGAGCCGGUCAUGGAGGCGACAGUGCUUAUGGAGAGACGAAUGGCCAUGGUCAGCAGUUCAGGCGAGCCCUCUGGGAAACACAGCCUGCAGUCAGCGGAACCUUCAAGCCACUUAACCGAAUAUGCAAGUGAAGAAUCGUAAGUUUGAGGAGAGGGUAAAAAUGCCAUUUCAGUGGAAGAGAUUGUUCAACACGUGAGGGAGCACGGUUUCCACGCCCAGCAUCACCUAAUUAUUUAAAAACUAGGAAAUUCGUAGAGAGGCAAGGACUAGCUCUGAAUUACACUCCUAGGGAAAGACGGAGUGUGCGUGGGGACAGAUUAUCUAACUGGAAAGCCGGCGAGCCCCAGGCAGGGGAACACCAUUCGCCUGUAGGUUCCUUAGGUCCUAGGGACACGAACGUCACAGCCAGCUGAAACCCGAGGGCCAAGUCCACUCUGGCGGAGGCCAAAGCCCCGCGAAGUCAGAGUGGGCGAUCUCCGGCCUCUUUUAGAACCAGGGACCCAGACCGGCUCGGCCAGGUCAGGCCUCGGCGCGGAACAGCGCUCACGCUGCGGGCCCCGGCGCGCCGAGAACGGACGCGCGGGCUUGACCAAUCCGCGGACGCCUACGCGGCGGCGCGACCAAUCCCAGCAACGCUGGAAGGGAAGGGGCGGGAGCUCGAGAAGCUCGCGUGAGGCCGAGCCCCAAGCUGCCCCAGCUUCCCGGAGCGGUCAGGCCCGACCCAGAGGCGGCGUGCGGGGAAGACCAGGCGCGCGUCCUCGGGCUGAGGCCCAGAUCCACCUCCCAGCGAUCGGCCCCUCCCUCAGCCGCGUCCCCGCGGCCACCCUGCUCGCUCCAUGCCUCACCUCGUGGGGACGCCGAGACCGAGGAGGGAAUCCCAAGCGAGAGCUGCAGCCGACACUACCCCACUCCAGCCGCUGCUCCGCCUCACAUUCAAACCCUGGCAAAAUGGCGCGGCGGCUAAGGUGGCGGCCACUGCGCAUGUGCGAGUGAGACCGGGACGCGGGGUGGAGCCAGGAAUGCUUUGGCCCCACCCCGGCUGCGAGGGCCAAUCGGAACCAUUGCUCGGGUCUGCGGUGACGUCACAAGAGACCGUGCCUUUUGACGCAGGCUUCUGUUUUGGGUUUCUUUCCUCAGACCCUAGCAGGUUCUGCGAGUGGCUCCUAGUGGCUUCUAACUGUUGGAUGGAACGUGCUCGUUCACGCCUGAGCGAAGGGACAGAGCAGAGCGUCUGUUCUAGGACAAAUAGAAUAAACGAAUGAGUAAGAAUUUCAAGCUAGGGGAUAGCACGCUUGGUUAAGCAAGUGAUAGCUGCGCAAGGAAGAAGACGGGAGUUCGAAUCCCCAGCACCCACAUAAAAGCCAGCCUGACUACAAUUCCGUACCUGGGGAGGCAGACACAGGAAGAUCGCUGGGGCUUACUGGCCGGCCUGUCUAGCUAAUUGCAUGGAAGAUCAUUCUGAAAAGACGCAUCUCCUAUCGCGGGCUCCAUGGAAGACCAUUUCUUCUAUUUCCAUUCAGACGGAUGUGGGCACAUCCGCUCAUACUUGCAGAGAACAAGUGUCCUUUGGCCCAAUGAGGGACCACCGUGGAAGAGAACACAGAGGGAACUGAGAGCUGGAGAAGGCGCUGUUGAGGGACACCCACCGCUUCCGGGCAUGGCAUGGCUGGCUCCUGCAGUCUUGAACCCACAGCUACUGUACUAGAAGCAUGAAGGCACACUGGGACUCCCAGACUACCCAAACAACGGACCCCAGCAAGUUAGAUGUCUCCAAGAAUCUCAAGUUAGGAAACGAAAAAGCCUGGACAAACCAGAGGGGAGCCCUCCCAGGGACACCCUCCCCCCCAGCCCCACCCCCAGACUUGUUAGACUUCCUUGCAAUGGACUGGACCUGAGAGGAGGGUCAGCGGUUGGUGGGACCACACCUUGACCACAACUGCGGUUAUGAAUACUUCUUGCCUUCUACUUUAAGGUUUUUGUUUUGUUUUGUUUUGUUUUGUUUUUUCGAGACAGGGUUUCUCUGUAUAGCCCUGGCUGUCCUGGAACUCACUUUGUAGACCAGGCUGGCCUUGAACUCAGAAAUCCGACUGCCUCUGCCUCCUGAGUACUGGGAUCAAAGGUGUGUGCCACCACGCCCGGCUUUUAAGUUUUAUUUUAUGAUUGUGUGAGUGUGGGGGAACACCCCGUGUGGAGGCCAGAGGAACCAUUGUGGAGCGAGUUCUCUGUAUCCCCCUUUACGUGGACCCAGAGGUCAGACCCAGGUCACCAGGCUUGCAGGACAAGCACUUAUACCUACACCAUCCUCUCUGCCCAAACGGAAACUAAGAGUUUGUGUCUGCCAUGCCAACAAACUCAAACUAGCCUAACCCGUGGCUUGACAGGAUAUAAAUGAUGACACUGGGAGCAGCUUUACUUUUUAAAACUUUAUUGAUUUUUUCCACCUGAUCAAAGCAUGGGGUAUUUAACAGUAUUAUACAUAAUAUUUUUUUACAUAGAAAACUUUACAUAGCAUUUCAUAUUAUAUAAUUCUGCUUUAUUCUUUCAAAAAUGUUUACAUCCAUUGGGCAAGGAAUGCUUUUCAUUAAAUUACCAAUAUUAAA